rnacentral:rRNA from 1 species
AGUGAACGCUGGCGGUAGGCCUAACACAUGCAAGUCGAACGGCAGCACAGUAAGAGCUUGCUCUUACGGGUGGCGAGUGGCGGACGGGUGAGGAAUACAUCGGAAUCUACUUUUUCGUGGGGGCUAACGUAGGGAAACUUACGCUAAUACCGCAUACGACCUACGGGUGAAAGCAGGGGAUCUUCGGACCUUGCGCGAUUGAAUGAGCCGAUGUCGGAUUAGCUAGUUGGCGGGGUAAAGGCCCACCAAGGCGACGAUCCGUAGCUGGUCUGAGAGGAUGAUCAGCCACACUGGAACUGAGACACGGUCCAGACUCCUACGGGAGGCAGCAGUGGGGAAUAUUGGACAAUGGGCGCAAGCCUGAUCCAGCCAUACCGCGUGGGUGAAGAAGGCCUUCGGGUUGCAAAGCCCUUUUGUUGGGAAAGAAAAGCAGCAGGUUAAUACCCCGCUGUUCUGACGGUACCCAAAGAAUAAGCACCGGCUAACUUCGUG